rnacentral:lncRNA from 1 species
CACUGAUAUAGGGGUGAACGCCUUAUGUUACACAUAGGGGCAGGGGUAUAAACCUUAUCUUACACUGAUAUAGGGGUGAACGCCUUAUGUUACAUAUAGGGGCAGGGGUAUAAACCUUAUAUUACACUGAUAUAGGGGUGAAUGCCUUAUGUUACAUAUAGGGGCACGGGUAUAAACCUUAUCUUACACUGAUAUAGGGGCGAAUGCCUUAAUAUGUUACACAUAGGGGCAGGGAUAUAAACCUUAUCUUACACUGAUAUAGGGGUAAAUGCCUUAUGUUACAUAUAGGGGCAGGGGUAUAACCUUAUGUUACACUGAUAUAGGGGUGAAUGCCUUAUGUUACACAUAGGGGCGGGGGUAUAAACCUUAUCUUACACUGAUAUAUAGGGGUGAAUGCCUUAAUAUGUUACACAUAGGGGCAGGGGUAUAAACCUUAUGUUAGACUGAUAUAGGGGUGAACGCCUUAUGUUACAUAUACGGGCAGGGGUAUAGACCAUAUCUUACACUGAUAUAGGGGUGAACGCCUUAUGUUACAUAUAGGGACAGGGGUAUAACCUUAUGUUACACUGAUAUAGGGGUGAAUGCCUUAUGUUACACGUAGGGGCGGGGGUAUAAACCUUAUGUUACACUGAUAUAGGGGUGAAUGCCUUAAUAUGUUACACAUAGGGGCAGGGGUAUAAACCUUAUCUUACACUGAUAUAGGGGUGAAUGCUUUAAUAUGUUACACUGAUAUACGGGUGAAUGCCUUAUGUUACACAUAGGGGCAGGGGUAUAAACCUUAUGUUAGACUGAUAUAGGGGUGAAUGCCUUAAUAUGUUACACAUAGGGGCAGGGGUGUAAACCUUAUCUUACACUGAUAUAGGGGUGAACGCCUUAUGUUACAUAUAGGGGCAGGAGUAUAAACCUUAUCUUACACUGAUAUAGGGGUGAAUGCCUUAAUAUGUUACAUAUAGGGGCAGGGGUGUAAACCUUAUCUUACACUGAUAUAGAGGUGAACGCCUUAUGUUACAUAUAGGGGCAGGGGUAUAACCUUAUGUUACACUGGUAUAGGGGUGAAUGCCUUAUGUUACACAUAGGGGCGGGGGUAUAAACCUUAUCUUACACUGAUAUAUAGGGGUGAAUGCCUUAAUAUGUUACACAUAGGGGCAGGGGUGUAAACCUUAUCUUACACUGAUAUAGGGGUGAACGCCUUAUGUUACAUAUAGGGGCAGGAGUAUAAACCUUAUCUUACACUGAUAUAGGGGUGAAUGCCUUAAUAUGUUACAUAUAGGGGCAGGGGUGUAAACCUUAUCUUACACUGAUAUAGAGGUGAACGCCUUAUGUUACAUAUAGGGGCAGGGGUAUAAACCUUAUGUUAGACUGAUAUAGGGGUGAACGCCUUAUGUUACAUAUAGGGGCAGGGGUAUAGACCUUAUCUUACACUGAUAUAGCGGUGAACGCCUUAUGUUACAUAUAGGGACAGGGGUAUAACCUUAUGUUACACUGAUAUAGGGGUGAAUGCCUUAUGUUACACGUAGGGGCGGGGGUUAGCCUGCGAACAGGCUCUCAAGCUGAAUUGAGAGCCUGCAUCGAUGACUAAUGAAUUUGAAUAUCUGCGUCUCAAAUCGUGACGCGAAAUUCUCAUUGGUCAGAUGCUAUAAUUUAUAUGUUUCCGCUGAGCUCUAUAUAUGUUAACUGCUGAAAGCACUAUGCAUAAAAAACACAUUAACUGAUCAAAUUGGUCUUGGCCGUCUUAUCUCAAAGCACGAAAUGUUCUGUUUUGAGAAAACAGUAUUUAAAACAUUUGAACUUUUGCUUGGGGAAUGUAUAUCUUAUAUUUCGAAAAACAGUAUAAACUUUACGGUCCAAAUUUAGUUUGCACGAAAGUUGUAAACAACACCAUAUAAGGAUAAACAUUCCAUAUUUGGAGAAACAAACGUUACGGGGCAGAUAUUCAAAUUCAUUAGUCGUCGAUGCAGGCUCUCAAUUCAGCUUGAGAGCCUGUUCGCAGGCUAGGGCGGGGGUAUAAACCUUAUGUUACACUGAUAUAGGGGUGAAUGCCUUAUGUUACACAUAGGAGCAGAGGUAUAAACCUUAACUUAGACUGAUAUUGGGGUGAAUGCCUUAUGUUACACAUAGGGGCAGGGGUAUAAACCUUAUGUUAGACUGAUAUAGGGGUGAAUGCCUUAAUAUGUUACACAUAGGGGCAGGGGUAUAAACCUUAUCUUACACUGAUAUAGGGGUGAAUGCCUUAAUAUGUUACACAUAGGGGCAGGGGUAUAAACAUUAUCUUACACUGAUAUAGGGGUGAAUGCCUUAAUAUGUUACACAUAGGGGCAGGGGUGUAAACCUUAUCUUACACUGAUAUAGGGGUGAACGCCUUAUGUUACAUAUAGGUGCAGGGGUAUAAACCUUAUCUUACACUGAUAUAGGGGUGAAUGCCUUAAUAUGUUACAUAUAGGGGCAGGGGUGUAAACCUUAUCUUACACUGAUAUAGGGGUGAAUGCCUUAUGUUACAUAUAGGGCAGGGGUAUAAACCUUAUGUUAGACUGAUAUAGGGGUGAACGCCUUAUGUUACAUUUACGGGCAGGGGUAUAGACCUUAUCUUACACUGAUAUAGGGGUGAACGCCUUAUGUUACAUAUAGGGGCAGGGGUAUAGACCUUAUGUUACACUGAUAUAGCGGUGAACGCCUUAUGUUACAUAUAGGGGCAGGGGUAUAACCUUAUGUUACAUUGAUAUAGGGGUGAAUGCUUUAUGUUACACAUAGGGGCAGGGGUACAAACCUUAUCUUACACUGAUAUAGGGGUGAAUGCCUUAAUAUGUUACACAUAGUGGCAGGGGUAUAAACCUUAUCUUACACUGAUAUAGGGGUUAACGCCUUAUGUUACAUAUAGGGGCAGGGGUAUAAACCUUAUCUUACAGUGAUAUAGGGGUGAAUGCCUUAUGUUACACAUAGGGGCAGGGGUAUAAACCUUAACUUACACUGAUAUAGGGGUGAAUGCCUUAUGUUACACAUUGGGGCAGGGGUACAAACCUUAUCUUACACUGAUAUAGGGGUGAACGCCUUAUGUUACAUAUAGGGGCAGGGGUAUAAACCUUAUCUUACACUGAUAUAGGGGUGAAUGCCUUAUGUUACAUAUAGGGGCAGGGCUAUAAACCUUAUGUUAGACAGAUAUAGGGGUGAACACCUUGUUACAUAUAGGGGCAGGGGUAUAUACUCUGAUAUAGGGGUGAAUGCCUUAUGUUAUACAUAGGGGCAGGGAUAUAAACCUUAUCUUACACUGAUAUAGGGGUGAGUGCCUUAUGUUACUGUAUAGGGGCAGGGGUAUAAACCUUAUUUGUUGACAUCAGGGUUGCUGUGUGUUCCCCUUUGCAUUUGAUCCAAAUAUUUUAAAACUUUUUGGAGGCACUUUGUGAAUUUUUUUUAAAAAAUGCUGUGAUCCCCCUUUCUUCGCCCUGGGUUGUCUGUGUGGUCCCCCCUCUCCAUUUCCUGGGAUUGCCUGGUUCCCCCCCCCCCCCUGCAUGGUCGUUUUGAUGAGAGAGAUGGUUUUUGAGAGGUGGUUUUCCUUUUUGGGGCACUUUUAGAAUUGGUGUGGUGUUAGAGUGAGCCUACCGUAAUAUUUGCAUUUGAUGAAAAUUUUUUAAAAUAUUUUUGUAUCAGUCCAAAGUGAUUGUUUUGAUGAGAAAAGCUUUUCGACAAUUUUGAGAAAGUUUGAAGUGGUUUGGGGCACUUUUUGAAUUUUUAAAAAAUUUCCUGUGUUUCCCUCUUUCUUCACCAAUGGUUGCCUGUGGUCUGCCCUUUGCAGUUUCAUCAAUUUUUUGACACUUAAAGUAAAGCUGCAUGAGCCUUAAAUUUCUAUCAAGAAAAUAUUAAGGACUUUAAUCUUUCAUCAAUAUUUGCGUGCCAAAAAGUUAAGGCUCAGACCUUUAAUUUUUGGCAACUAAUUUUUUUUAACUAUAAUUUGGUGAUGAGAUAUUAUGUAGAAAUAAAUAUAGUUGUUGGCACUGAAUAGAUCUACUAGUCGAGUGGUCGUCUCUUGGUGUUGCAUGCGGGAGAACUAAGGAUCUAUCCCUGUUAUUGUCCAAACCAUUUUAAUCUCAGGUGGUGUUGUUAAUUAAUUCCACCCGAGACGAGAAAGAGUUAAGUAGAAUAAAAAAGAAGUUAAAGCAAGUGUAGGCGAGAUGGUCUAGCGGUAUGUACAAAGUGUUGCAAGUGCGUGAAGCUAUAGGUUCGAAUCCUGCUGUAGUCAAAAAGCAUUUUAAUGUCAGGCGUCGUUGUUGAUUAAUUCCACCCGAGACGAGAAAGAGUUAAGUAGAAUAAAAAAGAAGUUAAAGCAAGUGUAGGCGAGAUGGUCUAGCGGUAUGUACAAAGUGUUGCAAGUGCGUGAAGCUAUAGGUUCGAAUCCUGCUGUAGUCAAAAAGCAUUUUAAUGUCAGGCGUCGUUGUUGAUUAAUUCCACCCGAGACGAGAAAGAGUUAAGUAGAAUAAAAAAGAAGUUAAAGCAAGUGUAGGCGAGAUGGUCUAGCGGUAUGUACAAAGUGUUGCAAGUGCGUGAAGCUAUAGGUUCGAAUCCUGCUGUAGUCAAAAAGCA